CCCCUAGUAACUGCGAGUGAAGCGGGAAAAGCUCAAAUUUAAAAUCUGGCAGUCUUAGAUUGUCCGAGUUGUAAUCUGGAGAAGCGUUUUCCGUGCUGGACCAUGUAUAAGUUCCUUGGAAUAGGAUAUCAUAGAGGGUGAGAAUCCCGUCUUUGACAUGGACUACCAGUGCUCUGUGAUACGCUCUCAAAGAGUCGCGUUGUUUGGGAAUGCAGCGCAAAAUGGGUGGUAUAUUCCAUCUAAAGCUAAAUAUUGGCGAGAGACCGAUAGCGAACAAGUACCGUGAGGGAAAGAUGAAAAGCACUUUGGAAAGAGAGUUAAACAGUACGUGAAAUUGUUGAAAGGGAAACGCUUGAAGUCAGUCGCGUUGUGUGGGACUCAGCCUUGCUUUUGCUUGGUGUAUUUCCUGCAUGACGGGCCAACAUCAGUUUUGACCACUAGAUAAAGUUGGGAGAAAUGUGGCACCUCCGGGUGUGUUAUAGUCUCUCUUCGCAUGUAGUGGCUGGGACUGAGGACCGCAGCGCGCCUUUAUGGCCGGGGUUCGCCCACGUUCGCGCUUAGGAUGUUGGCGUAAUGGCUUUAAACGACCCGUCUUGAAACACGGACCAAGGAGUCUAACAUGCCUGCGAGUGUUUGGGUGUAAAACCCAUGCGCGUAAUGAAAGUGAAAGUUGAGAUCUCUGUCGUGGAGAGCAUCGACGCCCGGUCCUGAGCCUUGGCGACGGAUCUGAGGUUGAGCAUGUAUGUUGGGACCCGAAAGAUGGUGAACUAUGCCUGAAUAGGGUGAAGCCAGAGGAAACUCUGGUGGAGGCUCGUAGCGAUUCUGACGUGCAAAUCGAUCGUCAAAUUUGGGUA
rnacentral:rRNA from 1 species